rnacentral:rRNA from 1 species
AUACGGAGGGUCCAAGCGUUAUCCGGAAUCAUUGGGUUUAAAGGGUCCGUAGGCGGGCAAUUAAGUCAGAGGUGAAAUCCCACAGCUCAACUGUGGAACUGCCUUUGAUACUGGUUGUCUUGAAUUAUAGUGAAGUAGAUAGAAUAUGUAGUGUAGCGGUGAAAUGCAUAGAUAUUACAUAGAAUACCGAUUGCGAAGGCAGUCUACUAACUGUAUAUUGACGCUGAUGGACGAAAGCGUGGGGAGCGAACAGGAUUAGAAACCCUAGUAGUCC